rnacentral:rRNA from 1 species
GAUGAAUGCUGGCGGCGUGCCUAAUACAUGCAAGUCGAGCGAACAGACGAGGAGCUUGCUCCUCUGACGUUAGCGGCGGACGGGUGAGUAACACGUGGAUAACCUACCUAUAAGACUGGGAUAACUUCGGGAAACCGGAGCUAAUACCGGAUAAUAUAUUGAACCGCAUGGUUCAAUAGUGAAAGACGGUUUUGCUGUCACUUAUAGAUGGAUCCGCGCCGCAUUAGCUAGUUGGUAAGGUAACGGCUUACCAAGGCAACGAUGCGUAGCCGACCUGAGAGGGUGAUCGGCCACACUGGAACUGAGACACGGUCCAGACUCCUACGGGAGGCAGCAGUAGGGAAUCUUCCGCAAUGGGCGAAAGCCUGACGGAGCAACGCCGCGUGAGUGAUGAAGGUCUUCGGAUCGUAAAACUCUGUUAUUAGGGAAGAACAAAUGUGUAAGUAACUAUGCACGUCUUGACGGUACCUAAUCAGAAGGCCACGGCUAACUACG